rnacentral:rRNA from 1 species
UACGGAGGGUGCGAGCGUUGUCCGGAAUCAUUGGGCGUAAAGGGCGCGUAGGCGGCUUCUCAAGCGUGCGGUGAAAGUCAGGGGCUCAACCCCUGAUCGGCCGUGCGAACUGGGGGGCUGGAGCACUGUAGAGGCAGGCGGAAUUCCGGGUGCAGCGGUGGAAUGCGUAGAUAUCGGGAGGAACACCGAUGGCGAAGGCAGGUCUCUGGGCCACUACUGACGCUGAGAAGCGAAAGCAUGGGGAGCGAACAGG